rnacentral:lncRNA from 1 species
AAAUGUACCAAACUCCUUGCCCUUGCGGGAGUUCCAGGCUUGGAGGCAGAGGCAGAUCAUAAACAGUAUGAGUAAUAAAUAAAUAAGAACAUUGUGUAGAGCAGGUCAUGGUGAUUGGAGGGACAAUGGUGGUCAGUCUGCCCUUUUUGGGAAGGUGGCACCACUGAGAUGCUCCUUUCCUCAGUCUGUGAGGCAGUGCCUGGAGCCUUCUGAGCCAGAAGAUGCCCACGGAUGGGUGUACUCCUCGAGAGGAGAGGAUGGAAGUGUCCCUGCAUGGAAGUGCCCGACAUCACAAUCCCAGAUAGGAAGGACCCUGGGAUGUGAUCCAACCUGACCUUCCAACUAAUGCAGAACGCCUUCGGGCAGCUUCCGAGCAGAUGGCUUUUCAAGUGCCCGUUGGGUGCCUGGAGGCUGGCUUCCUGUUUGCCCUGGGGGAGGUCAUUCCUGUGGUCACACACUGGAAGUGACAGGCUGGCGUGCUGGCGAGGAUAAUCACAGAGUAUAAUGAUCAGAAGUGGUCCUGGACCAGAGAAGAGGCUCUUCAUCACUGGUGCUCAGGGAAGGAGUGCAGAGAGAUCUCACUGGAACAUGAAGGCCGUCAUGGACUGUUGGGGGCCAGAGUGAGGUACUCCGCCCAUGACAAAGGUCAUGAGGAAGGAGGCUCGACAUACGCAAAGGCGGGAUCGAGCCUCAGGAGUCCCCCUGGAACUCCUCGAGUAUCUACCCCCAUUACCAGAGCCUGCCUACUUUAUUACUUUGUGCUCUCACCUACAUCUCUGACUUUACGGGGGGCUGUCCCCCACCACCUCUUUCGGAGAAGGAGUUAACCUAGAGCUCCAGUUAAUAAUAAUUCCUGGGCGUGAUAAGAGUGUUUUAACCUACAAACUCCUCUGAAGGUUCUCUAGCCUGCCUGACAGGCUUGUCCGGCCACAUGUGAUUGCUCACAGCCUCCCAACCGUGAGAGGCACGAGAUGCUUUAAACCUUCUAAAAACAGGUUCCUUAGAAAAGUUAGAAAACUACUAGUAUAAGUAUAAUGGGCUGAUUAGAAAUUGUAUUGGUGAAGGGUUUUUCAUUUGUUGAGCCAAUGUUUGUUGCUAAGUCUCCACAUCCCCUGCCCUUACACACAUUAAUGAAUAUAUAGAAGAAAUAAGUAUUAACCUUUGAUAUUAAUCACGUUAGACCUUAGGCUAAGUAAAUUCUUUCCUUAACUAAAACCCACUACACCCUCACCCUAUAGGAACGUAACUUUAUUUGGGUGGUGUCUGUUUUGAGAAUAAUCAGCCCUGGAGAAAUAAGUGUCCUGGUUGACUGACCACUGUCACAAGGAGAGGGUCAUAAAUUGUCAGCAGGCCCCCUGGCCAGAAGAUGAUGUAACACCCUUAAGACCUCUGUAUACAUUUGUAUGAAGCACCUGACUUUGAUAAAAGUCAGGACUGCUGACCCCGCGUGACUUUUGCAUAACAUCUCAGUGUAUAAAAGUAGACCAUGGAAAAUAAAGAAUUGGGAUCAGUUUCUCGAAAUACUGGU